ensembl:lncRNA
AGGAAUUGGAGGGCAGUCUCCGAAAUAAUUGCUCCUCCUAAAAUAAUAAGGCUCUGGCUAGCUGCUUCCUGCUAUUUCCAGCCCUUAGUUUUCAGAAUGGUCAGGUCUUUGUAUUCUAGCCCUUUUCUGCCUUUAGCAGGAGCCUCGGCUGCAUCAGGCCCUGGGCCGUGUCAUGGAAACUGCCCAGGGUGGGGUUAGGAGGUGGGGCGGGGCUGGGACAGGAAGCCUGCAGCUCAGUCGGCAUCUUGCUACCACGUGCAGUAGUGGGGGCCAUAAAAGAGUGGGAGACGUAGAAGAAGGGCAGGACACGAGCCCCAAAGAGCCAGCCAGACACACGGAGACGAGAGAGGUAGAGAAACCAGCUGAGCCAGACACAGAAAGAUGGCCAUGGCCUUGCGGAGGCUCCAGGUCGUGACAGUGACUUUGGCUACGGCCGCGCUGCUGUUCCUGCCCCCGGAUACCUGCUUCCCGUUGCCCAGGGCUUGGGAAGUCCCCGUACUGAGCCCGGACCAUUUGGGGACUUGGAGACACCUUGCGAACUCCACCGGCGAGCAGUGGCGGUCGAUUCGCGCCCCUCCAGGCCGGAAGCAGCGGGAAAGGAUCCCCAACGCCCUGGAUCUGCCCUUCCACCUGCUGCGGGAGUUGCUGGACCGCGCAAGGGAAGAGAGGCUACGCAGCCGUGCGCGGAACAACCAGCGCUUGCUGGGGAGAGUGGGCUAGUGUGAGGCUGCGACCCCACGGGGCUGAGAAGGAGGGGUACCUGCGGGCGGGAGACGAGGGGAGCUGGAAGUAGGGAAAUCAGAGGACAGAGGUCGGGGCAGGCGUGGCUGCCAGGACGAUCUCGUAAAACAGCGAAGUUUAGAGCAAAAUCGAAGCCUCCGGUUUAUUGAGGGAAACUAUCACCUCUGUGUCUGCGUCUGCGCCCUUUCUCCCCUACCUGGAGCACGUCUCUCUCAGACUUAGAGACUUGGUCUUUGCUUCAGCGGCGAAUUCCUCCAUUUCCCCCAUAGCUCACCUCCUCUGGGAAAUAGCAACUCUAAAUCUAACACUGAGCCAAUCUUGGGAUUGGCUCAGUAUUUCGGGAAGGGGUUAUUGUCUAGCAGGAGACUGCCCCUUCGCUCCUUAACCUAGAAAGAGCAGCUUUCUUCUCAAACCCAAUUACAAAUGGUCACAGAAAGUUUUUGGGCUCCAAGCAUCCAGUAGAGGGCGAGGAGAAACUUUUUGUGUGUGUGUGUAGUGUAUAGCACAGAGACUGGAAGAAACGCGCGGAGAGCUCAAGCUCUCCCAGGAUCAAGGCAGCCCCAGGACUGGGUUAGGGGAGGUUGUGACCUAGGGAAGUCUCGCCCUUCGUUAGCACUGCCGUAGCUAAGAUCUGGAGGCUAAGGAGGAACCCGAGGCAAAACCCUGAGACUCCCCUGCCUCCUGCUCUGACCCCUCAGAGGCCGCCGCGUCUGAACUCUGCAAGUGAAGAGGGGAAGAGUCAGAGAAAGGAGACACUUAGGCAGCCUUUUCACCUUUUCCCUCAUCCUCUUCCACCGCUUUCCAGGGUUCCCGCCCCAUCCUCGCGGUCCCAAGGUGGGAGGCGGGGCUUUCUAAGUACUGCAGCGGAAUCCUACACUAAGAUUCCCAGAGGGAUGGGAGGUGGGGAUCUCUAAAGGAAAUACGCCCCCAGUCUCACUGACCUGGCCGCACCCUGGUGUUCCUGUCCCAUCUCCGUUGU